AUUGAACGCUGGCGGAAUGCUUUACACAUGCAAGUCGAACGGUAGAGGGGGCAACCCCUCGAGAGUGGCGAACGGGUGAGUAAUAUAUCGGAACGUGCCCAGUCGUGGGGGAUAACGUAGCGAAAGUUACGCUAAUACCGCAUACGAUCUAAGGAUGAAAGCGGGGGAUCGCAAGACCUCGCGCGAUUGGAGCGGCCGAUAUCAGAUUAGGUAGUUGGUGGGGUAAAGGGUCACCAAGCCAACGAUCUGUAGCUGGUCUGAGAGGACGACCAGCCACACUGGAACUGAGACACGGUCCAGACUCCUACGGGAGGCAGCAGUGGGGAAUUUUGGACAAUGGACGCAAGUCUGAUCCAGCCAUUCCGCGUGCAGGAUGAAGGCCCUCGGGUUGUAAACUGCUUUUGUACGGAACGAAAAGGUCUCUCUUAAUACGGGGGGCUCAUGACGGUACCGUAAGAGUAAGCACCGGCUAACUACGUGCCAGCAGCCGCCGUAA
rnacentral:rRNA from 1 species